rnacentral:rRNA from 1 species
GGCCUGGCUGGCCGGUCCGCCUCACCGCGUGUACUGGUCCGGCCGGGCCUUUCCUUCUGGGGAGCCCCAUGGCCUUCACUGGCCGUGCGGGGGAUCCAGGACUUUUACUUUGAAAAAAUUAGAGUGUUCAAAGCAGGCCUUUGCUCGGAUACAUUAGCAUGGAAUAAUUGAAUAGGACGCGCGGUUCUAUUUUGUUGGUUUCUAGGACCGCCGUA